CUUUAUGGUGGCCAUGCGUAGGGCUCCCUCGGGAGCGCCGGGUCCUAGUUACCGGUCUACCAACCCGCGUAUGGCCGCCACCCCU
rnacentral:antisense_RNA from 1 species